rnacentral:rRNA from 1 species
AUUGAACGCUGGCGGCAGGCUUAACACAUGCAAGUCGAGCGCGCGGCGGGCGGGUGAAUAAUGUCGGGAACACUGCCUGAUGGAGGGGGAUAACUCGUGGAAACGGUAGCUAAUCCCGCAUACCAGCAGAUUUGCCCAGGUGGGAUUAGCUAGUAGGUGGGAGAAUGGCUCACCUAGGCGACGAUCCCUAGCUGGUCUGAGAGGAUGACCAGCCACACUGGAACUGAGACACGGUCCAGACUCCUACGGGAGGCAGCAGUGGGGAAUAUUGCACAAUGGGCGCAAGCCUGAUGCAGCCAUGCCGCGUGUGUGAAGAAGGCCUUCGGGUUGUAAAGUACUUUCAGCGGGGAGGCGUUACCCACAGAAGAAGCACCGGCUAACUCCGUGCCAGCAGCCGCGGUAAUUC